CCUGCUCUCAGCAUUCUUUAAUUGCCUGUAAUUCUUUAUGUGGGGUUGAGGUCUCCUGAGUUUUCCCCACCCACUUUAUCAUGUCUGGUGUCCUUGUUUAGCUCAUGUGUAGGCAGUCAUGUUGGUAAGACUUAUCUCACAGCAAACUCUUGGAUCUUAUGGUUCUUAAUAAAUAAUCUUUCUGCUCACUCUUCCACAAUGUUCCCUGAACCUUAGGUGUGGGAGUUAUAUUACAGGCAUAUCUCUUGGGACUCAGCUCUACAACUUUCAUUUUGAUUGGUUGUGGUUUUCUGCGACAGUCUCUGUUGCAAAGAGAACUUUCCUUCAUGAGGAUGAGGAUGGGGCUUAUCUGUGAGUAUAAGGACAAUUAUUUAGAAGGUAGUUACAGAUUAUGCUGGUUUAGCUAAAUGUCAGUUGCAGAUCUCCUAGAACCCUGACUUUAUUGGCCCUGAGUAGAUGGCUAGGUUUCCACUACUGACAUGAUUUCCCUUUGCUGUGUAUAUGCACCACAUUUUCAUUAUCUAUUUGUAGAUUGAAGAACAUUUAGGUUGUUUCCAUUUCCCAUGUACUGUGACUAGAACAGCAAUGACCAUGACUGAAAAAGGGAUUAGUAGCUAGAAUAUGCAAAACACUGCAGAAAACCCCACUAAAUGCCUCUAAAUCAAGCAGCCUAAUAAAUGGCUAAUGAUGAAAUGAAUAUGUAUUUCUUAAAAGAGAAAGUUCUAGUGACCAAUAACCGUCCAUAGAAUGGCAGUGGAGUUUUGGUGAGGAUUUCAUAACCAAGGUGUUUCAAAGCUGGACCAGCAUUGUCAAGAAGAACAGAAAAAUUCGCAGGCAUGUGGUGUUUAAUCUUACUGUGUGCCUUACUGGCAACAUGACGAGCACUUCUAGGGACCUGAGAGUGCUCAUUCUUGAAAGAAAAACAUAAACACAAUGUAAAAGUUAGUUCCUGCGUUCAUGGGGCACGUGGUCUGAAUAGGAUGCAGACAGGAAAUAAUCCCACAAGUAAUUGCCUCCAUUGUGGAAAAUUAGAUGCAGAAAUAAGACAGUAGAGGAGAAAGAGAAGAGCAUGGGAGAGAGAUGGAGGCAGUGGGGAGGAGAGAGAAGAAAAGAAAAUUGAUAUGAAAACAGAUAUUUAUGAAGAGAAGCAUCAGAGCCUGGCUUGCUGGUCCAAACCUGUAACUCCAGCACUCAGGAAACAGAGGCAGAAGGUGAUGUUCCCUAAAUGUGUUGUCACUGUUUCCUCAUUAAUCAGUUUUAAUGUCUCUACUUUUUCUGUAGAUAUCAGGUUUACUAAGUAGUCUGUGAACUUUUUUUUAAAGAUAAAUGCUUCAUUACAGAUUUAUUAUUUAUAGUGUCCUAUCUUCUUGAAAGAAGAUAGUUAUCAGGCAGGAAAUUCAGGACAACGGGCUGAAAAAUAUUCACGAGGACUCAUGAGGAAAACCAUCACUCCAAUUGUAAGGUUUCCUUACAAGCACUUAAACAUAGCUGAGGCAACCACAUCUGUGAAACCAACAAAGCAGCUUCCUUGGCUUGAUCUGACCAAUAUUUACCACCAUUUAGUUAUGCUCUCUGUAGGCAGGCACUUUACUGUUUGAAGAAAUAAUUGUCCAUAAAGAAAAAAUGAUUAAUUGUGAUAUGGCUUUACUUAAAUCUGUUUUGUAGUCAUUGAGCAUUUCACAUGAAUAAAUUAAUCUUUCAUAUAUCAUAGUCUAUCUCAAAUAGCUUCCCAAAUAUUUAAAAUGGUAAAGGACUCUAUUCAUGGCAUACAUAUAUGAAAGAGAUUUUGUUACUAUGUGGCUUAUUAGCAGAAUAAGGAAAUUAUUCUAUUAAUCAGACAAGGAGGGUGCAGGGAAAGCAGCUGUGAUUGUUAAAGAGAUUAAAGAGAAAGCUUGGGCUCUGCACUGGGACAAUAGGAAUAGUGCCCUAAAGACUCCAACUGUUGGGAGCAUAGCAUGAAGGUACUUGCGCCCACAGAUCUCCAGAGAAACCAGGAAUGUUAAGCAUACAGGAUUAUCUUUCCAAUGGGAGAGAUGAAAAACCUGUUCUUCCAUCCAGAAAGCUAAGAAUUGGAAGUGAUUGACAGCCUGGUGAUCUGUAUUAUCUGUUGGGCCAGGCCACAUCAAGCUCCUAUAACCAGGACUGGAGGUGACUAGUAAUCUAAAUGACCCUUACAGACAGAGCCUUCCCCAAGCUCUUCCAAGAAGGACCAGAGGUGGCUAACAGCCACAUGACCUUUAUGCUAUCUGUAUGACCGAGAGCAGGCCAGACCCUUAAGCUAGCACAGAUAGCCUGUCUCUAGACCCGUCUUCUUGGAAGAAAUGACAUGUACCCUGUGUUGAGUUUCAAUGUAAUUAUGCUUCCUCAUGCAACAGGGAUUGUGUUACAUCAAGAAACUUUUGCCUGUUAUUAGAUUCUCUGAAGUCACUCUGCAUUGAGUUUCACUCUUAUCUCUUCACAAGGUUUGGUCCUCUGUAUAACACCUGUGAACAUGCAAAUUCAUUUCAAAAGAAAGAGCCUGACACCUGCCUACAGAAGUGUUUCCUUGGGGUCACCCUGGGAGUCCUACAGGGACCAGUGCAAGUGUGGUCAAAGGGGACCAGGCUGAGAGCAGAACUUGGCAGCAUCAUUCACAUGGUUCUGAUUCUAUAGACAUGAGGAGUACAAGGGUGAGGCUUUUGCCAAGGUUCCCAAAGCUGGCUAAAGCUAGGACAUGUGGGGCGGGGUUGGAUUCCUGGAAAGAGGUUCUGAGGUCAUUUCACAGCAUGGAAGGUAAAUCUUCUAAAUUGCAGUGAAGCUCCCAGGAUGCUGGAGAUGCCAGCACUCUAAGAUGUCUGCCAAAGAUAGCUGCAUGAUUUAAGAGGACUCAGCCCACAGGACAGGCUAGAUGGGCAGCAGGCAUCAGAGAUGGAUGGGAGAGGCUUCCCACACCAUUUGGAUCCUAGCUGACCCAAGGCACAAACCUCAAAUGCUGAACACAGCUGCAGCGCUUGGUUCUCAACCUCUGGGCUUCCGUCUGGCUUUGGUCUGAUCUUUCCUUGCAAUGUUCUCAUUCCCCUUUUGGAAUGGGAAAGUGUACUCCAUGCCAUUGUAUGAUGUGAGUAUGCAACUUUCUAUUUGAUAUCAUAGGGCUCACAGCUGUUUACCCAAGUCUCUGAAGAUCUCUGCACUGACAGUUUUGAACAAUGUUGGAACUGUUAAAGACUAUGGGGGUGUUUGGAGUUGUCUUGGGGGUGUUUUUGUUACGAGCUUAUAAAAAUAAAAGUGGAAGGUUAUGGCUUUAAAGUGAUAUGUUUGGUUGUCAAAUUGAAAAGGGGAGAACUUGAUGAUGUUAACUGAUAAGGUCUAGAAUCAUCUAACAAUAAGCUUUUGGGCAAAUGUGUGAGGGAGUUUCUGGAUUGCUUUGAGUUUAGAAGACCCACCUUAAAUGUGAGUGACACAAUUUUAUGAGCUGGAAUCCCCAACUAAGAAAAAAGGAGAAAGUGUCUGGGCACCAUCACUUCUCUCUUUCUCUGCUUCCUGACUGCAGAUACCAUGUGAUCAAACUCCUGUCACCAUGACAUCCCUGCUGUGAAAAUGUAAUCAAUUGCUGCACCAGAGAAGUCUGUAGCACCUGGACCACCUGCUCAGAGGGCAGCACUGCCAGCAAUGGGCUGGGCCCUCCCACAUCAAUCAUUAAUCAAGAAAAUGCUUCCAGACUUGCCUACAGCUACAUCUUUAAAGCUCUACCAUCCAGUGACCAAAGAGCUGAAUUGAACAAAUUGUUGAAGAGGAAAUGAAAACGAAAGGAGAGAGUUGGAGAGGCAGUUCCUCCAUGAUGCCAGAAGCCCAGGCGAGAUGCUGUUUACCAGAGAUAUUAACAUUUCAUAUUUUUUAGAUUUUUAUUUAUUUAUUAUGUAUACACCAUUCUGCUUCCAUGUAUAUCUGCACUCCAGAAGAGGGCAUCGGAUCUCAUAACGGAUGGUUGUGAGCCACCAUGUAGUUUCUGGGAAUUGAACUCAGGACCUCUGGAAGAGCAGUCAGUGCUCUCAACCUCUUGAGUCAUCUCUCCAGGUCCAACAUUUCACAUUCUUAAUCAAUGUGCCCCUCAAGCAACUCUUGAGCCAAGCAGUGUGAUUAUCCAAGCUGGAACUAAGGGAGCAGGGGUAGUUAUGCCAACUGAUAUCCAAGCUUCCUUAGUAAUCAAAUAGCAUGGCCAGCAUCAUGUUGAUUGGUCCUGCCAACAAGGCUGGCUCUUGCAGUCAGCAGGGAGUACCACCUUCUGGUUCUCAAGCUCACCUCAAAAGAGGCCACCUGUCUUCUGGGGAGCUUGAGAAAGCCUGUGAGUUACCUGCUAUCAAAGGCUAGGAAGGGAUAAAAAUUAUCUGGGAAUAAAUAAACUAUUGAUUGACAACACGGGUCCAUCUCAGAAACACUGGGCAGAGUGAAAGAGAGGAGACAUGCAAGAUCUCAGGCACAAAGCCUAAAUGGAGAUCAGUAGAAACAAACCGGAUGAUAGCCAGUGGUUAUGUACGGUAACAGGCUCUAUGGUACUGACUGCAGAAGGGCAAGCCAGGCCUUUGUGUUGCUAUGGAAAUAUCAAAACUCAUGAAAUGAUGCAUUAAAGUGGGCAAAUUUUAUGUGUCUAAAUUAUGGUUCUGUAAACCUUAAAUAAAAUUUACCCUUCCAUCAAA